rnacentral:rRNA from 1 species
UACGUAGGCAGCAAGCGUUGUUCGGAGUUACUGGGCGUAAAGGGUGUGUAGGCGGUUGUUUAAGUUUGGUGUGAAAUCUCCCGGCUCAACUGGGAGGGUGCGCCGGAUACUGAGGGGCUAGAGUGCGGGAAGGGAAAGUGGAAUUCCUGGUGUAGCGGUGAAAUGCGUAGAUAUCAGGAGGAACACCGGUGGUGCAAACGGCUUUCUGGACCGUAACUGACGCUGAGACACGAAAGCGUGGGGAGCAAACAGG